ACUAAGGCUGCCCUGAACGCAUCAAACCUCCAGAAUAAACAGCAGUGAAUUAUGACAACAAUAACUGGGUACUGUAAACGCUACAGUGUGGACGUGCUUAUUAACGUUUGCAGUCCAGGCAGGAGAAGGGAUCCGGGAUUUGAGUCGAUCCCAAACUCCAGCCGGGUUUUAACUCCGAUCUGAGCGGCUCCUCUUCUGUAAAAUGUAACAAAGAACAGUCGGCAUGGCGGAUGGACCGGAGACGCAAACCACCAAACCGGAGUCGAUGCUCUUCAACGCUCGAUAGUCAACCCGGGAGGCGGUAGAGGAGACCCCGGAGCGACCCGGGGAGACCGUCUGCACCUCCACUACACAACUGCGUCGCCAUUUGCUGGCCUCAGACAUGCACAUGGACAAUGAGGUGUGGUCCAGCUCCUCUCCUGUUUGACUCUCCCAGUCGUCUGGAGGCCGGCCGAUUCCACUUGGACCCUCCUGAGGCUCAGACUCGUCAGGAGGGCUGCUGGUCCCCGUUGCAAUCGCUGUGGUCACGUCCUGAGUGGAGCUGCCCUCUGACAUCGAGGCGUCCAUCGCUGCAGCGUAACCCGCCAUCAGAGCCAGCUCAUCGUCCUGAGACAACGGCGUCUGGGGAAGAAGAAGAAGAACAUUCCCAUUAUUUUCAAUCUUGUGUAACAAGACAUUUACUUUUUACUUUAGCAUCUGUUCAUUCAAACACUAGAGUUGUAAAGUAUUUUGAUUUGCAUUUCUAAUCACUGGCAUAAAUGUUCUUCAUUAAAAGAGGUCUAAUCCACCUCUGGAGCAAA